AAAAGAGAGAAAAAAAACAGAUUAAAAAAGUUUCAAACACAAGAAACAAAAGCCUAACGAGCAUUUAGAGUAUUUUUCCUGACACAGAACUAAGAUAAUUGAAACUCCCUGUGGAGGAGGAUUCCAAGAGAACUCGGCCCUGGAAAGAUCAAGAUCCCGCAUCAAGUGGUGCUCCGUGUGUGUGUGUGUCAGUAAGAGCUCAAAGAAGACUCGAUCAACACCUGCCUGGACCAGAGCAGCUGGUUCCUGAAAGAAAGAUGUCCGGACAAAUAUAUCUGCUAUCAACUUCCAGAGUUCCAAGGGCCCAGGACUUGGAAACAUCGGAUUCUGCUGGUCAGUAAUCCACAGAGAUAGCCACCGGGUCUGUACGUCAGAGGAGCCAGAGAGAGGGACAGCAGGACCCAGACGCCGCCCUCUGAUGAAACUGACCGCCUACAGAUGAUGUCAGAAAAGGCUAGUACAGAAAGGUCUUCCCAGCAGGCAGACCCAAAAGCUCCCCAAGAGGCAGGGCCAGAGGCUGCCCAAGAGGCGGAGCCACAAAAUGCGGAUACGGUGGAACAGCUGGACCAUGAAGCAUUGCAAACCCCACCCAAAAGGGGGAGUUCGGGGCAGUGCCAAAAAGCCUUCCCCGUCGCGCAGCAAAAGCAACUAAGGGGCUGGCCAAAAUCGCUAAGCCACGCCCUGCUGCUGGACCAAUGACACUAUCGAUGACACGGAGGCCCCAGCCCACCGAGGCGGAGGCUGGCACUGCCCCCCGUCAAGCCGCGCAUGCACCUUCUCUCAUUCGUGUCGAUGUUACGCAAUCCGUGUGUGAAAAUAACCUGGAAAUGGGGAAAAUAGUUACGAUUCCUGUUCAGAGUCCAGUUUCUGGCACAAGCAGCAUUCACCUUAAAAGGGUUUUAUCUCCUAAAAAGGAGUUUCUCCCUAAAUAUAGGCUUUUAGAACUUUUUUCUCAGGUUCAUAUCCAGUCUUAAUUACAGGUGACUAUAAAAUCGGACAAAAGAGCUGAUUUGUGGAGCAACAGCGCCACCUUGUGGGCAAACUUCAUCACCACAGCCUUCAACUUCUACAUUUGUAAGUCAGCAUGUAUCAGAUGACAACAUAAUAUCUAUCACUGCUGGUGAAGGGAUUCCUCUGUCAUCGAUUCAAAUACCAGAUUUUCUGCUUCAAGACGAUAUUUCAGCUUUUCAAAAGACUGCUCCAAAGGACUGGUUCUUAGGACAGCACAUCUCUUCUUUGACAAGAUUACAAUUUUCUCCACUUCUUCAAGACUUAAUGGAUGCUGUGUGCAGCCAAAAUCCACAACCAGUGGGUUUUUCUACCAUACCUACAGCUCCUCAACAACCAAAGCUACAAUCUAUAUCAAUUCUCCCUCAAAGAGAAGGGGGAGGACCUGAUAUGCAGGUACGUUUCAAGAAAGGAGGUGAUGCUUUCAGAAAAAUUGAGGACAUUACUGUGCUGCCAGUGAGGCUUCGAAGAAGAGAUAAUGUUCCUAGAUGGGAGCCUGUGGAUCAUUUGCUUUUAAAGGAUUUAUUGGAUGCUGUGGAAAGAAAAGGACUUGGUUCUCCAUAUUUUAAACAGUUAUUAAAAGGUCUUUUCCGCAGUCAUGAAAUGUUGCCAUAUGUCUGCAAAUAUAUAGCCUCAACAAUUUUCACAGAUUUGCAAUAUAUACUGUGGAGUUCAAGAUGGAGAAAAGCUCUCCUUGAACUGAGCAACAAAUAUGCCAGGGGACCAUGUGCAGACAUCACAGGGGCUCAAAUGGCAAGAGACGUGCCGCAUCAUAAGCCAGAAACUCAAAUAGUAGACCUGCCUGCAGAAGUGCUUCAAGAUGUUGUAGAAGCAGCUGAGCAGCAGUUUCAGCAAAUAGCAGGCAUGAACCUGUGGAUUUGGGACAUGUCAACACGAAGUCCAGCAUCCCUGGGCUGCUUUCCACAAAAUAGCUGAAAGGCAGAAAUCAAGCAACAAGAAGCCAUGUUUCAGAUGUGGGAAACAUGGACACAGAAAAAAAUGUGCCUUCAGAGCACAGAGCCUUCAGGAAACACAAAAGCACCAGGUCUUUGCCUAAGAUACAGAGGAGGAAGACAUUAUGCAAGCCAAUGUCACUCAAAAAGAGAUGCAGAUUGAAAACUCCUACCCCUUCCAGGGAAUGGGAAGAGAAGUACACAAGUAAUGACAGUGACUCAGCAAUCCGACAUCCCUCAAGGAACACAAUCUGUGGGGAGCUCCAAUCAAACUCCAUCUGCAGAACCAUCUACAGCUUCCCAAGCAAUCGAGAACUGAUAACCCUAAGAAUUCUUUGACCUUAUAUGUCAUCCAAAAGAUGUAUUUUCCAUCCUAAAGCAUCAAGGAAUGAGAACCCUUGCGAAGAUACCAUUGAAAAGUCCUUAUUCAAAGACCAGAGAACAGCCAUCAGUGAUGAACGUGCAUCACUCUUUGACGUACUAAUAGGAGAAGGCAACAUUGAAUCUCCUGGAACCUUCACACCUGAAGCUCAGGAGGUCCUUAAGAAGGUCAUUGAAGGUCUUCAGAAGAGAUAGGUGCAUUGUUGUGCUGUGCCACAACCAUUCUUUCUUACAGUGCUAAAAAGAAACAUGCAACUAUGGUCUCAUAUCUCAAUGAGAUACCUCAAAGAAAAAUUGAUUGUUAAUAAUAGAAUGGAUUUUUUCCCCACAGGUCCUUCAGAAACAAUUUUCACAAUAAUAAAAAGAAUAAUACAAACCAUAUUUGAGGCGAAAAUUAAAUGGUCGACAAUAACAGGCAAAAAUCUUGUAAUAAUUUAUCUACCUUUAAAAAAAAGGACAUUUUAAUUAGGCAAUGUAAAAAUCAAAAGCACUGUAAGUUGCAUUGCUGGCUAAUCUGCAAAUUGUUGUAGUCAUAAUUAAGCUUCAGAGAGAAACCCUUAUUGAAUGAAGCAUCUUCAAAAAUAAAUAAAAAAGUUUAUAGGUACUGCAUAAUAGAAUACAUAUAGAUAUUGCAUUUUUGAUAAUAUCUGCUGGUUUUGCUUUUAUAAAUAACAUGAAAAAUUAUGAUAGUUAUUCAUCACAAGAAAUUUAAAGUAUUCUUGCUUUGCUUCAAUAUUCUCAAUGCAUGAAAUUUUAAAAAUGUUAUCUUCUCUAUUAAUCUACUGCUAGUGUAGCACUGUAUAAUAUAAAGUUAUAUAAAGAAAUAUUAUAUAUAUAUAAGGUGAUCGCCAAGUAUUACUGAUGUAAUUACAACUUCUGCAAAAUGCAUUUCCUUAAAAUUGAAUUGAGAGAUUACAUAGUUAACCAUGAGCAGGUUUUUUUCAUUCUUUAAUCUUUUCCUUCUUUCAAAUAAGUAUAUUAUAGAUUUAAUUCAACACAGUUUUCAGUACUUUCAAAGUUAAACUGAAAAAGAUCCAAAUAACAGAUAAUUGAUUAAAUUCUAAUUGUUAGGAAUUUUGUUUAAGAAAAGUAAGCUAAGGGCAUCCCUCCAGUUUGAAGCUGAGGCCCUGGCCAAGCCUCAACUUUAGCUGGAUGGAGAAUUUACCAAUAAACCCAGAUGUUUUCUGCAUCAAAACAAUAUUCAAAUCAGUCAAUAAAUUAAUAUAGCACUGGAUCUUUACAGUGAGCUUGGAGAAUUGUUAUCUGGACAUAAUUUUCCAAUCUGUCACUGAUUUAUCAGCUGUUGCAGACUCUGGGAUGAUAGUACAUUUUAUACAUAUACAAUCAAUCUAUACUAUAGAUUAUUCAGAUCUUAUAAUAUCGCAUAAUAUCAAUUAUGCAUCUUAACAAGUUCUUGAUUGCUGUAAAAGUGUUAUAUACUAUAUGUAUACAUGUACAUGUGUUCUACUUUGAUGGUUUUUCAUGUUCAAAACGAGAAAACAGAUACCUUUAAUUACAAAAAAAUAAGGGGAAACAGAUGCUAUGCCUCAGAAGCAUAAAAACCUUAUAUAUUUUAAAUUUUAUGAAAAAGCGUAAAAAUCUUAUCUAUAUUGCAAAUUUUCUGAACGGCUCUUUCUGAACAGUUCUUUUACAAAACCAAGUCUGCCAAUUAUCAGGUAUUCUUCUAAUGGUACUCAAGUGAAAUUGGGAGAAAAUCCUUUGGUUUUGAUUAGAAAUUUAGAGUCAGCACGGAUUGAAGGUCCAUUUCAACUAAUCACCUGGGGAAAAGGGUAUGCUUGUGUCUCCACAGGUUCAAGGACCGAAGUGAGUUCCCGCAAAGCAUGUGAAACCAUAUCAAGCUGAGAAGCAAGCAGACGGAGACCCCGGAAACCGAGAAGCAAGCACACAGAUGUGAUCCAGCAUGAAGACAGCAUCUGGCAGCUUGAACAUCAGACAACCUGCAUGUGGAAAUUUGUGGACUGGGAACUCUGUGAGGGAGGGUUGUUCAGACAUCUGAGAAUUCUUAUGAAAGAUGGGGCUGUUGAACAAGAAGAUCAAUCAGUUAUUGUA